rnacentral:rRNA from 1 species
AUUGAACGCUGGCGGCAGGCCUAACACAUGCAAGUCGAACGAGUGGCGGACGGGUGAGUAAUGUCUGGGAAACUGCCCGAUGGGGGGGGAUAACUACUGGAAACGGUAGCUAAUACCGCAUACCAUCGGAUUUGCCCAGAUGGGAUUAGCUGGUAGGUGGGGUAACGGCUCACCUAGGCCACGAACCCUAGCUGGUCUGAGAGGAUGACGAGCCACACUGGAAUGGGGAAACGGUCCGGAUCCCUACGGGAGGCAGCGGAGGGAAACAUUGCACAAUGGGCGCAAGCCUGAUGCAGCCAUGCCGCGGGUAUGAAGAAGGCCUUCGGGUUGUAAAGUACUUUCAGCGAGGAGGCGUUACUCGCAGAAGAAGCACCGGCUAACUCCGUGCCAGCAGCCGCGGUAAUUC